rnacentral:rRNA from 1 species
GACGAACGCUGGCGGCGUGCUUAACACAUGCAAGUCGAACGGAAAGGCCCUGCUUUUGUGGGGUGCUCGAGUGGCGAACGGGUGAGUAACACGUGAGUAACCUGCCCUUGACUUUGGGAUAACUUCAGGAAACUGGGGCUAAUACCGGAUAGGAGCUCCUGCUGCAUGGUGGGGGUUGGAAAGUUUCGGCGGUUGGGGAUGGACUCGCGGCUUAUCAGCUUGUUGGUGGGGUAGUGGCUUACCAAGGCUUUGACGGGUAGCCGGCCUGAGAGGGUGACCGGCCACAAUGGGACUGAGAUACGGACCAGACGCCUACGGGAGGCAGCAGUGGGGAGUAUUGCACAAUGGGCGGAAGCCUGAUGCAGCAACGCCGCGUGCGGGAUGACGGCCUACGGGUUGUAAACCUCUUUCGCCUGUGACGAAGCGUGAGUGACGGUAAUGGGUAAAGAAGCACCGGCUAACUACGUG